UGGGCAACCUGCCCCUAGCUCUGGGAUAACUGCGGGAAACUGUAGCUAAUACCGGAUGUGACACGAGACUGCAUGGUCUUCGUGUGGAAAGAUUUUAUCGGCUAGGGAUGGGCCCGCGGUCUAUCAGCUUGUUGGUGGGGUAAUGGCUCACCAAGGCGACGACGGAUAACCGGCCUGAGAGGGCGACCGGUCACACUGGGACUAAGACACGGCCCAGACUCCGUACGGGAGGCA
rnacentral:rRNA from 1 species